AGUGAACGCUGGCGGUAGGCCUAACACAUGCAAGUCGAACGGCAGCACAGGAGAGCUUGCUCUCUGGGUGGCGAGUGGCGGACGGGUGAGGAAUACAUCGGAAUCUACUUUUUCGUGGGGGAUAACGUAGGGAAACUUACGCUAAUACCGCAUACGACCUACGGGUGAAAGCAGGGGACCUUCGGGCCUUGCGCGAUUGAAUGAGCCGAUGUCGGAUUAGCUAGUUGGCGGGGUAAAGGCCCACCAAGGCGACGAUCCGUAGCUGGUCUGAGAGGAGGAUCAGCCAAACUGGAACUGAGACACGGUCCAGACUCCUACGGGAGGCAGCAGUGGGGAACAUUGGACAAUGGGCGCAAGCCUGAUCCAGCCAUACCGCGUGGGUGAAGAAGGCCUUCGGGUUGUAAAGCCCUUUUGUCGGGAAAGAAAUCCAGCUGGCUAAUACCCGGUUGGGAUGACGGUACCCAAAGAAUAAGCACCGGCUAACUUCGUGCCAGCCGCCGCGGUAA
rnacentral:rRNA from 1 species